CGUAAAAUGGUGGUUGAUAUCCCCAUUUCAUGGACCAGGAAACUGAGACUCAGGAACUUUGGUGACUUGUCCAAACUUCGGCAGGGCCAGGAGCAGGGCCAGGAGGCAGUGGAGGCUCGGGGAUGAGGGGGCUGUGGAGUGGGCCUCGUUCCCUGGCCACAGAGGCAGGAUCCGAAGACUGGUUGCCUGCCUGAGCCCAUCAUGCCUCUCUCCAAGAAUAAUACAUGACCACGACGUUCCAGAGCAGCACUCUUUGGAGGGCAUUCUGCUAGGAACCAGCCCAUUUGUGGAGACAGCAACACCCAGGCAUGUCCUUUGCUCUCCUGUCCCACCACCUCUUCUCCAAGCCUCCGGCUCUGGCCCCAAGGGAACUGCAGACAGACACAGGCCCUGGAGAGCUGCAAGUUCUCCAGGGCACCUCCUCCAGCUCCAGUGGCUUUUGUCUUGAGUCUGCUUCGAUCCCAGUUCUCCCGGAUUCACAAAGCACCACAGGGCGUCUAGCUCUCCUGGGGAUGUGACAAAACCCCCAAAUAUACUCCUAUUAUUUGUUAAACACACACAUGCCCUCUGCUAGCUCUUUAGGAAGGAGAACAGGUGUCCAGAGUUUGAAAUCAGCCCUUAGAACCAGACUAAAGCAAAAUCAGGAAUUGAAAGAGGCCUGCCUUCCCCUUUCUUCUUUCUCAAAGUUCUUCUCUACCUUGAACCAUUAAUGCCUCCACCUCUUCCGAGACAUCCUGCAGGGGCCUAGCUGAAGCCUGCCACUAUCCUGGGCUCACUCUUUCUACUCUCCACCGCAUAGAAUUCACAGGGCUUCUUGACUAUUACUCAAGAUUUCAAAUUGAGAAGCUCUGAUAAAGUCCUUCACGCUGAGGAUCCAUAGCUGAUAAUCACUGAGUACCUGCCAAAGGUCAUAAACCCAAAGCACUGAGGCUGGAUGAGUAUAAUUUGGGGUGGCUUUUCUGAUACCCCUCCCCAAAUCAUAUACCUUGUCCCCUCAAGCAGAAGUACAGGGCAUUGUGUAGUAAUUGAGAACACCUAAGAAUUUUCUCCUGUAGUUCUACUGUCAUUCUCAGAGACGAGUCAAGGGAAGUCUCCAGGAUCUGAACACUGAUCUAAUUAAUGUUCGUUACCCAGGACCUUGCUUGGGACACGUCUUGAUUCGGGGCUACCUAGACAGAAGAGAUGACCGCGGUGGCAGCAUACCACGGACCCAGCUUUGCUUUUAGCCACAGGGAAGGCUCCACCCCAGACCCUCUCCCCUUUUCUGCCAAGCUUGUAAGCUGCCAGGAACCGCGAGGCCAGCCACAGGCAGUCACAGAGUGAGAGAAACACACAGCACGUGUACAAACCAUUCAUUUUAUUUCCUGUAUUGGGUUUAUACAAACUUGCAAGAUACAAAUGCAGGGCUCACUGGGAUUCUUCAGUACCUAGAUCUAGAAAGAAUGCUGCGGGGCGGGGGGAAGCGAACGUUCACGCUCAGUCAGGAGGCCCCUCCCCGGGGAGGGGCUUGUUGGCUAGAAUGAUGCUAAAGCAGCUGCUACAGAUGUUUGGUCCCCAACAGAGAUGCCCUCUGUUUAUCUAACUUUAACUUUUCUUCUAAGGUCACUUUUAUACUAAAUAAAGACACUGAGAUCAUACAUUUCCUUGUAUGGUUUAUUGUCUAAUGCUAGCAAAUCAAAUUGGCCCCAGUAUGUGCAUAAAUAGAUAUAUGUAUAUAUACGUGUAUUUCAUAUUUUCCUUAGUUUUAAGAGCUGCCAGGUGGGGGGUGCCUACAGGGGAAAGGAAUUGAUUCCGUCUUGCUAUUCUCAGCCCUGCCCCAAGACCAUGCCUCUCCCCAAGGCAGGAGAGCAAGUAUGCACAGCUUGCGACCUCAGAAAAUC